rnacentral:lncRNA from 1 species
UUGCAUCUACAUCUUCAUGGCAAAUUACAGCUAAAAGAUUAACACCUUCGGUGUCAAGCAUCCACUCAUUCUCAGCCUUGAAGCCUUCAUUUUCAUCAAACUUAUUUACCUUGCCAUUCUUUAUGAACACCUUAUUGAUAUCUGGUAUGCCUCGAAGAGCCAUUUCUGUAAGCAUGUUACCCUCAAUCUUUUUGAGGAAGACAUCAUCCUCAGCAGAUUCAUCAUUCAACUCACCUUUAGGGGCUUCAUCAUUCAUAAUACGAAUACGAAGGAUAAGCUUUUCAGCAUUAUCAUCAUUAAAUAUGCACGUUAGAUCACUAUCAAAUUCAGCAUUAAUCUUAUGGGAAAUAUCAGCCAUGUUGAGUUUCUUAUCCACCAUCAUUUCUCUGUUUAACUCUAUGCGAAGCAACCACGGAGAGAUCUUGUCGGGGUCAACAUCAUCAUCUGGCAUCUCAAAGUAGGACGUCACAAAUUCAACAUCUUCCUCAAUAAUAGUGCUCUUAGGAUCUGGAUCGUACCAUACCUCUGUUGCUUGUGUUACACUCCGCAAGGUUGUAUACUCCAGAGCGCACUGGACAUUUUUGGCCUUCUCCUUAGUUUUGCUUACACCAGGCUUCAAGUAUACCGAGAGNAGGUAAUCUGUUUCUGCAUACACAGCAGCAUCAAGAAGAAUGUCCACUGUUCUCAAAGGAGCAUCUCAUCAUGGGGCCAGUAUCGUUGCGAUUGAUACCAUGACGGGUGAUGGCCAUCAAGUGACCACGAUAUGUCAUGGUAUCACACAAUAUAGCCAAAAUGUCUAUAGUUCACGUAAGACCCAUCAAAUGAUAUGACAACACGCAACUCAUCCAGCAAGGCUUUGCGAACUGCCUCAAUGCCAAGAACUUCAAUAACUUCAAUCAAAUGAUUGCUUGUUGUCCUACUUGCAUCUACAUCUUCAUGGCAAAUUACAGCUAAAAGAUUAACACCUUCGGUGUCAAGCAUCCACUCAUUCUCAGCCUUGAAGCCUUCAUUUUCAUCAAACUUAUUUACCUUGCCAUUCUUUAUGAACACCUUAUUGAUAUCUGGUAUGCCUCGAAGAGCCAUUUCUGUAAGCAUGUUACCCUCUAAUCUUUUUGUAGGAAGACAUCAUCCUCAGCAGAUUCAUCAUUCAACUCACCUUUAGGGGCUUCAUCAUUCAUAAUACGAAUACGAAGGAUAAGCUUUUCAGCAUUAUCAUCAUUAAAUAUGCACGUUAGAUCACUAUCAAAUUCAGCAUUAAUCUUAUGGGAAAUAUCAGCCAUGUUGAGUUUCUUAUCCACCAUCAUUUCUCUGUUUAACUCUAUGCGAAGCAACCACGGAGAGAUCUUGUCGGGGUCAACAUCAUCAUCUGGCAUCUCAAAGUAGGACGUCACAAAUUCAACAUCUUCCUCAAUAAUAGUGCUCUUAGGAUCUGGAUCGUACCAUACCUCUGUUGCUUGUGUUACACUCCGCAAGGUUGUAUACUCCAGAGCGCACUGGACAUUUUUGGCCUUCUCCUUAGUUUUGCUUACACCAGGCUUCAAGUAUACCGAGAGAGAGGGUGUUUUAAUUUUCUUAGCAACAUUAAUAAUCUCCCUCAACCUUGGAACACCUAAAGUUAACAAUUCUUGGCACUCACACCAGCAUAGUGAAAUGUAUUGAGGGUCAUCUGUGUAGCAGGUUCACCAAUGGAUUGUGCAGCAACACAUCCUAUCAUUUCACCAGCAGCAACAAGUGACUGAAGAAAACGGGAUUCUAUCUCGCCAACUACCCAGUCAAAAGCCUCACGGGUAAGUCUGUACUCCUUCAGGACCCUUUUACUUGCUAAAGCACUACGAAGCAAUAUAUUGAAGAAAAGAGUAGCAUUCUUCUGUGCUUCCAAACUCAGAUAAUCAUCACCAACAACCACCUUAAGCCUUUCUUGUAACUUAUCAACAGCUUCUACAAUCUCCAUUGGAUGCAUAUCAGACGGUCUCCGAAAAUCAACUCUAAAGGUCUUCUGUGCAUUCAAAACAAGCCUCUUGAUGUUGACAGGGAGGGGCCAAGAAUUGUCACCCGUGGUGGCAAUCUCUGUUCCAAGUUGAUACCUAUCGGCUUCAAGUUUCUGAACCUCUGCAUCAAACACACUGCGGAUUUCACGAAUCGUUUUCAGAUCUUCCACAGCUUCAGGUAACAUAUAAUUAGGAUUCCAGUUUGGGUGAUCAAUCUCAUAUUUGUACAUGUCAUUGAAAUCCGAUCUCUUCAACUUCAGUGAUUCCAAAGGCUGUGAUUCAAUCCAAACUGCAUCCAUACCAUCUUCCCCGUACAGAAACUGAAUCACAUCACCUAACGAAUUCCUAACAGUCCCAUCAUACUUAACCAUGAUAUCUUCCAUAGCCUUCACCAAUCGCCUCUGAAUAUAUCCAGUCUCAGAAGUUUUCACUGCAGUGUCAAUAAGACCUUCCCUACCACCCAUGGCAUGGAAAAAGAACUCUUGAGGAGACAAUCCUCGAAGAUAUGAGUUCUCCACAAAACCACGACUCUCUGGACCAUAAUCAUCUUUGGUGAAGUGUGGAAGUGUGCGAUCCACAAAACCAAAAGGAAUUCGCUUGCCUUCAACAUUCUGCUGACCCACACAUGCAGUCAUCUGAGAAAUAUUGAUGAAACUUCCCUUAGACCCUGCAGUGACCAUAGCUUUGAGGUUGUUACUUUCUGCCAAGCUCUUCUGAGCACUGCUUCCAGCAUCAUCACGAGCCUUAUUCAACACCUGAAGGCACAAAACAUAUAUAAGGGAAUCACCAGGCUGCAGCAAGGAAAUCAAAAUUUUUAACAAACCUGGUUAACUCUGUUCUCGAACGAUUCCAUCAUUGUUCUUCCUGGCUCAGCUUCCAAUUGCUUUUCUUGUGCAGCCCUGAUAAGUUCAUUCACCUCAUUCUUAGCUUUGUUAAUAGUUUCAGAGAUCUUCGUCAUUGUAUCAUGAUCAGCAAUUGUAUCUCCAAUUCCCAUGCUAAAAGCGUUCUGCAAAAGCCAAUAAUUGACCAGCCAUUGUGUAUGUCCCAAAAAUUUCCGAGCUGCAUCUGGACCGACUUCUUCCCUGAGACCAGUAUACAUUAUAUUAAACACAUAAAUAUGAAUAAAGAAUCUUUCGGGCUUUCAGUUCAUUAUUAUAAUAUUUAUUACUCCUUGUUUCAUGUGCCAUAUCAUAUGUUUUGAUGUCACAAAUGCUAUAAUAUUCACACAGAAGAGCUACUAGAGUGGAGGAAGACUGAUAUAUGCAAAAGCUAAAUUGUUAAAGAGUACAGAAAUUUUCAAUAAGAUACUCAUGUAGUUUUAAACUUCUGAAGAAAAUUAAUCUUCUCUUCUACAAAUUCCGAUGGAGUAAGCAAAGGAACACUUUCUUGAAAUGGCAUUAGUUUUAUUGAUAUCUAUAAUGAGUGCAAGCAUGGAGAUUGAUAAAGUGUUUUGUCUGCAAAGAAACAGUACCCAUUUUUUUGUGCCAAAAGGAGAAUCUUUUUGCUAGUGAAAAGAGAGGGUAUUUCAUUGGUAACUCAAGCAAGUUCUUUUGAAAGUAUUACUUCUUCAAUCAACAUAUUGCGAGUUCUGACUCAUUUGCGAGAUCCUAGAAUAUAUAAAUAAAAGACACCAACUUCAUUUAAAGUAUUUGCAUACAUAUGCUCCCAAUCCCCAUUGCCCAUAGAGCAAUGGACCAAUUUAAUACAACAUGAAUUCUUCAGAAGAUAAAAGUGAAAGUCAUGCUUUUGCUCUUAAAUUUAAGGUUGAACGAAAAAUGUGACCCGCAAACAGCCCCAUACCUCCAUUUUACCCAACUUUCCACUUAUUACAUUUUGCUACUAGAUACUUCAGGUAUGUUACCCGCAAUCAGCCCCAAUUCAUAAUAUGGAUAAGUUGGGUGGGCGUUUAGGAGACAAUAGUUUCCUUUCAAAACCCACCAAAUGCAGAAAUGGUACUGCAAAAAUUCCAGAAAGAACGUACCAAAUAACAUGUAUGAGACUUCCACUAGAUGACCCGAGUGUUUUCUUGCAUAGGGUGCCUGAAAGUAACUCCCCUUUUUCUAUCCGUACUUGAGUAUCCCCAGGAGUAAUAAAUCCUUUUUCAGUUUCUUGAUGCCAUGAAGAAUACCUUAAUAGAUUUAUCUGUCUUGGAAUGAUUAAAUUAAAUACUUGUUUCCCAGUCCAAAGAGGCUUAGGUUUCAGAAUUGUUGGAGCAGGUACUUUGCCAUCAAAAUCCUCCCACCACAUAAGGAUGUUCAUAAAAACAUCCUGCGAACAAUACAGACAGCGAUAUCAGAUUGAAUGUGGACACUUACCUAAAAAUUACAUAAUGAUGACAGAAAAUCAAAUGUUACCUUGUCAAUAAAAGUAUCUCUCUUAGUGAUUUUGCGACAUCCUAGUAGUGUAUCCUGCACAAUACCCAUUACAGGUCGAUUUGAUUGAGGUGACACGAUGCAUUUUGGAACCAUCAUUAAUUCCAGAACUUCGGCUCUAGUUUCAAAUGACUGGGGCACGUGCAUAUUCAUUUCAUCUCCAUCAAAAUCAGCAUUGUAGGGUGAGGUAACAGACAGAUUUAAGCGGAAUGUUGAAUAUGGCAUAAUCUUGAUUCUGUGGCCCAUAAUGGACAUCUUAUGGAGACUCGGUUGCCGAUUGAACAGGACAAAGUCUCCAUCAUUUAAAUGUCUCUCAACCUGUACCAUCAAAUAAUAGGAAUCAGGUGUCAAAAGGAAUCCAAUGCUUGAUCAUUCUCAAUUAUAUAGCUGGGAGUCUCACCUUAUAUCCAAGUUCUAGAUGCUGAUCACUACUCUUUUUCAAGUACCGGAGAUCAAGCCUCUGUCCAUCAUCCCUAAUAAUAUAUUUUGCGCCAGUUUUACCAGGAGGGGGAUGAGGUCCAUAUUCCACAAGCUCUUUCAAUCUAUUUUCAAGGUCAAUAUCUGGUUAACAAGAAUAACCAAAAAGUAUAGAGGGAUCACUAUCAAGAAAUAUGGUAAGAGUGCCUAACCUUUCGAUGUUAUAUGGAGUUACAGUUUCAGGAUAUGUAAGAUUUAAGGCAAUACUCCAAGGCACACCCAGCUGGUCGAUGUUGAUUGUUGGGUCAGGUGUAAUCACAGUCCGAGCCGAAAAAUCUACUCGCUUACCCAUCAAGUUACCUCUGAUCCUACCAUCUUUUGCCUUAAGCCUGCUACAUAUUGAUUUAAUGGGUCUGCCAGAUCUUUGGGUAGCCUGAUGUAUACAAGGAUACUUCACUUGUUAGAUAAAUGAUGUUCCAGGAACUGCAUCCACAGUCUCAAUAUACUGAAAUAAUAUAACAUACUCUUGGUUGACCAGGUAAAUCGUUAUCAAAGUAUGUAGCCACAUGGAACUGCAGCAACUGUGCAAACUCAGAGAUGAUGUGUGCAGGAGCCCCAUUCCGCUCCUGCCUCUUUAAGUUCUCAUUAUGCCUAAUGAUCAUGGCCAGUUGAUGAGUUAAAUCAUCCUGCAUAAAUUGAUUCAAUUAUUAGAUUCUCCUGCAACUUAAAAGCAGCAAUCCGAGGAACAUGCAAUUGAUUGACUUGAUCAGUUUGCAGUGAACAGAACCCGAUACACUUAUCUGACCUAAAGGAACAAUUAGGGGUAAUCUAAACACCCAUGACAUUGUAGAGAUCAAAAGGAGAAGUCAUGCCUCACUCCGAGAAGAAGUAUCCAUCAUUACAGAAGGCCUAACUGGAGGAGGAGGGAUUGGAAGAACUUGAAGAAUCAUCCAGUCAGGGCGAGCAUAUUUUGGAUUCAAGCCCAACAACUGACAAUCUUCAUCAGUAAUUCUCUUCAGUAUGCUGAGCACCUGAAACAAAAAGGAAAUAGAGAUUGUUGGGAUUAGCGCAUAAAUCAAUCUAUCACAUUAUCCAGGCUGGAAAAAAAAGUUUGAAUCCCUAUUCUCUGGCAAUUUAUGAUAUAUGAUACCUUCUCUGCAGAGAGAAGUUGUUUUCGUUCAACAGGUUCAGGCAUCUGGUCCUGGUCAUCACUUUUCUUCUUCUGAAUCUUGUAUUCAGCAACCAUUUUCAUCCCAUCUAUAGAAAUCUUUGGCUGCUGAGCACCGCAUCCACCCCUAGACUUCUUCACAGGUUCUUCCGAAUCUUGACCUCGCACAUCGAUCUCAUCACCUCCUUCACAUUUGGAUUUGUUUUUGCAGGCAUCUAAUAUCUUCUUUAAUCUAUUCUUAGGGUUUCUAAUUCUCAUUGCUUGCUUGAACUUGGGAUCGUCCUAGAAAAAUUAACAAGGGAUCAAAAUACAUUGCAAAAGAAAACGAUUGUUCCAACUUCCAAGUAACUUUAUUUCCAUUUGAAGUAUAAUAUUCAGGCAAUAAUGAAAAUAACUAACUUUUACAACAGCAACACUCCUAGGAGAUGCAUCCAGAUGAUGAAAUACCUCAAACUGCUUCUAUCUUACCAAUAUGCAUUUCUAUAAAAGUAACACAAUUAUUGAAGACAUAACAGAACCUAGAAGCCUAAAACUGGAUCGUUGCUAGUCAUAAGUCUUACUAUCCAGUCACUCUUGCAAGUAAUAAGAAUGUUACAAUUAAAUCAGUUGCCCAGUUCAGGAUGGUCAUGAAUAAGACAGAAGUCUGACCCUCCUAGUAUACGAACAUAUACAUGAAAUAAGCAUUUUCCGUGAAUCCAGCAUAUGUUAUACACUUCUGAAAAAUUCAGUCUGCUACUCAGGCCUCACAACAGCGGAAUCAAUAGUCAUACCCAAUAUGAACCAAGUGAGCAUGACUGUACAAAUUCAUACUACUUAAACCGAAAACGUCCAUAACUUCAAUCUAACUACUCGGGAAAUGUACAAUACCUCAUCCGCUAAAAUCUUAGAGCAAUUGAAGCAGACACUGCGGAGAAUACUGAGCACAGUCUUCAUGAAGCCAAUGUGAAACAUAGGUUUGGCGAGCUCAAGGUGACCGAAGUGACCGGGGCAGUCAGCCAUGUUCGCCAUACAAGUCUCGCACUUCAUCUUCCGAUCAAUCGUCCCCAGACGCGGGUCGCUCAAACCACCGAUCUUCGGCUUGCCUCUUUCCGUCGUCUCGCUGUGCUCUAUAUGCACAACAGACAUUUGUCUCUACAAAACACACCAUAAAACAAUAGACCAUCAUUUCCAACUCAAUCACACACUCAAUGCCGAAACUGAAAGUUCAAAACAUUCAAAGAAGUGAGAAUUACGAUCUCAUCGGGGCUGAGAAUGCCGAAUUGGACGACGCGGACUUUCGCGACCUCUGCCGGCGAGAAGGGGAACCGCAGAUCCAUUGCGACACCGGAGAUUCUACCCUAGGGUUUUCGAUUAUGAUUUAUUAUGCUAGCUGAUAUAUAAUAAUUCCAAAAUUAGAAACAAAUAUGGUUUUCAAGUACUUCAAAUUAUUCGCGGUUUCUGUUAAGUAACUGAUUUUUGGGGUUUUUGAAGAAAACUUUUUUCACGCUGCGCUCUUCUCUGAAGGAGGAGAGGCGGCUUUGAGACCAAAGAAGAGAAUGAGGGGUUGAAGGGGUAUUUAAAGAGAUGGAUGGCUUCGAAGUCGGCGCUUAAUGGGGUUGUUUGGCUACACAGUUAUGAGCUGGACAUCUUCCUCUCGUUUGGUCCAUCUAUUAAAAAAUCUUCUUAAUCUAUUUUUAAACAUAAUUUCAUCAACUAUUAUCCUUAUAAUUUUCAUUUUUUGUAAGACUCAUUUUUCACUUAUCAAGUAUACAAUUAAUUUUUAUUAAAAUUCAUGUCACCCUCCUUUAUAAAGAUCUUUGAGAAAUGAAGGGAGUGUUAAUUCCAAAUAUUUGGUAAAAUAAGUACAUAAAUACUCAUUUCGUCCCAACUUUUAGUAUCAAUUUAAGAAUGACACGUGUUUUAAUAAAGUUGUUAAGUGUGUUGUGAGUGGAAUAAGGGUCUCGCAUUUUACGUGAAUGUUAAAAUAAUUAAAGUGGAGUAAGGGUCUCACCUACUUUUACUAAAAAUAAAAAUGAAUAUCAAAAUAUGGAACGGCCAAAAAAGGAAAUAUGAAUACUAAAAGUUGGGACGAAGAUAGUAGUUUACAAGCUCUACAAAUAAGUUUCUACAAUUUAUAAGCUUUUCAAACUACAAACUUUUUACCAUAAAUUACUUUUUCAUAAUUUUAUACUUCCUUCAUCCCAAUUCNCUUAUAAUUUUUCAUUUUUUUGUAAGACUCAUUUUUUCACUUAUCAAGUAUACAAUUAAUUUUUAUUAAAAUUCAUGUCACCCUCCUUUAUAAAGAUCUUUGAGAAAUGAAGGGAGUGUUAAUUCCAAAUAUUUGGUAAAAUAAGUACAUAAAUACUCAUUUCGUCCCAACUUUUAGUAUCAAUUUAAGAAUGACACGUGUUUUAAUAAAGUUGUUAAGUGUGUUGUGAGUGGAAUAAGGGUCUCGCAUUUUACGUGAAUGUUAAAAUAAUUAAAGUGGAGUAAGGGUCUCACCUACUUUUACUAAAAAUAAAAAUGAAUAUCAAAAUAUGGAACGGCCAAAAAAGGAAAUAUGAAUACUAAAAGUUGGGACGAAGAUAGUAGUUUACAAGCUCUACAAAUAAGUUUCUACAAUUUAUAAGCUUUUCAAACUACAAACUUUUUACCAUAAAUUACUUUUUCAUAAUUUUAUACUUCCUUCAUCCCAAUUCAAUAGGCCACAAGACAAGGCUUGGACAUGGAUAUUAAGAAGCGAAUAGUUUAUAAUAAAAUACGAGAGAGAAAGUAGCUUUUUUUAGAGUAAAUUUGUGAAAAAAGUAGGAGAGAGUAGAGAUAAUUUUGUGGGAUCACAAUGAUAUUUGAUGUACAUAAUGAGUUGUGCGAAGGUGUUUGUUAUAUACUAUGAUUUUUUAUUUUAGGAAGUGACCUAUUGAAUUGGAACGUCCAAAUAAGGAUUCAUGACAUAUUUAAAUGGAACUGAGGGAGUAAUAUAUUUUACAAAAAUUAUUCAAUUAUACUUUAUUACUAUUUUCAUCAUAUACACUUUAAACCACUUUGCAAAAAUUAACUCAAUCAUAUAAAUACUUUCACAACUUAUAAGCUCUUACAAAAAUACAUUUUUAAAAUUUUUGAAACAUUUUAUAAAUUGCUACAAUUAUAAAUUUCUUAAAAUAAGCUUAUCCAAACAUCCCCUUAAUUCUACAACAAAAUUUUAACAAAUGGAGUAUAAAUGAGCUAUGAUUGGUAACAUAUUUUUCCUACAAAAAUAAUAAGCGAUAGGUAACAUAACUAGCGUGGGAACUAAGAAUCAAUCUGGUCUAUUAAUUUGAUUAAAUGAUCAUGAUUGAUUUCCAUAUUGAACAAUACAUAUAUAUGAUAAUGCAUCAGUUUAUGCCAGAAAUUAUGCCAUGCUGAUAAAUAAUACUCCAUUCGUCCCAAACGAAAUGUCCUAUUUCUUUUCGGUACGGAAAUUAAGAAAUGUGUAUAAAAUAGAUUAAGUGGGUUGGUGAAAAUUAUUUAAAUAUUAAGUAUAGAGAGAGAGUGUAGUGCCAAAAAAGGAAACAUGACAUUUCGUUUGAGAUAGCCCAAAAAGGAAAACAGUACAUUUCGUUUGGAACGGAGGGAGUAUAGUGCAUACUUAUAAUAAACAACGUAGUUUUAAGUGUGGUGCCCACUUCGGGGGAGCUUGUUGGAUUUAUAAUAAACGACGUAGUUUUCAUAUAUACAAAAAAUCCUCUUCCAUUGAGAUGGUUUCUUACAUUCUUGGCUUCAGCUGCGCAUGGCUUAUCUAUGCAUGCAUUAUUUUAGUUAUAAGCAAUUUAGUAAAUAAAAUAACAAAAUGGAUGGAUUAACAUUGCCACAAAACAUGAUGACACUAUUAGUAUUUUACUUCAAAGGGGAAGAAAAAAAAACUUUAUACGAAUGAAAGAAUGCCAUGUUAAACAAUCUCUCUUAGCCAAAUUGGAAAGCUAUGAGACCAAACAAAUGGACUACAAAUUAAAAAAGAGGUUAUAAAGUGACACGGGACUUAUACGCCACGUGCGGAGUUCAGCUGCCCGACUGCCGGAGUUCAGCUGCCCGACUGCCGGCCUGGUAUGAAAAUGAUUGGGUUAGGGUAGGGUGUCCCAUGCAACAAAUCCUCAUUCCACCUUCCCUUUGUCAGUUUCAUUUACCACACUAAGCCAUGUAAACAAUACCAACACAAUCACAAAAUCAGCAAAUCUAUUCGAACUCGCUUGGCCUAUGGUGAAAGCAGGAUGGAAAAGAAAGCAAAAUAAGCAAAGGUAAAUAUACCUGCUUGGACUGGAAGGAGAAAAAGAUGGUGAUGUUGGGCUGCAAAACCACAGAAAAUAAUAUGUCAAGGUAGCAUUUGAAAGAGAGUUUCACCAGUUCAGAAUAUAUCCUAGUCUUGUCGGGGAAAUAAAACAAAAAGAGUAAUACUCUAGGGAACAAUUUAUCCAGCUUCCUCUGUGGACAAUCAAGUAUAGAAACAGAGUAAUACAUUUAACCAAGGUUAUAUUUGUUAGCAAACUUGAAGAGCAAAAAUUAAAAUAAGGCUUGCCAAAAGUUACCUGAGACUCGGAGAAUAUGGACUGUACGGACUUGAAGGUGUGAUUUUUGGACUUGUAGGUGAAUAUGCUUGUGAAGGGCUAUACCUUGCUGAAGGAUUGUAACUUGGUGAGGUCAGACUGUAAGUCGGUGAGGUGGGACUGUAUCCAGGUGAAGUUGGGCUGUAGGCAGGAGAGGUAGGGCUGUAUGAAGGUGAGGUUGGGCUGUACGAUGGAGAGGUUGGGCUGUAAGAUGGUGAGGUUGGGCUGUAAGAGGGAGACGUGGGGCUGUAAGCCGGAGAAGUUGGGUUAUAAGCAGGUGAGGUUGGGCUGUAAGAGGGAGACGUGGGGCUGUAAGCCGGAGAAGUUGGGCUAUACGCAGGUGAGGUUGGGCUGUAUGCUGGAGAAGUUGGGCUGUAGCUCGGAGAUGUAGGGCUGUAGCUCGGAGAUGUGGGGCUAUAGCUAGGAGAUGUUGGGCUGUAGGAAGGAGACGUUGGUGAAUAAGAUGGGCUUGUGGGAGAAUAGGCAGGGCUUGUAGGACUAUAUCCAGGAGAACUAGGACUAUAUGUUGGGGACGUAGGGCUGUAACCAGGGGAAGUAGGACUGUACCCAGGUGAGGUGGGGCUGUAUCCAGGAGAUGACGGGCUGUACCCUGGAGACGAUGUAGGAGAAAACGCCAUCCCGCCCACAUACGGAGAAAACUGAGCAUCUGAAACAGGAGAUAACCGAAGAUUUGGGCUCAGCAUAUAAUUUGGUGACAUCAUGCCAUCAUGAUAUGGGGUCCCUGAGAUGGGUGAACGGCCAGGAGUCAUGCCAAACUCCAGUCCACCUUCCAUAUAACUGGGCAGAGGGAUCUCCAUAGCUUGUUUUAGCAUCUCUUCAUUCAUAUACAAAGCACAAUCACCUGUGCCAAUAGGUGCAAGCUGUCCUAACAUGAUAUUCUCAGUGACACCCCUGAGGUAAUCUGUUUCUGCAUACACAGCAGCAUCAAGAAGAAUGUCCACUGUUUCUUCAAAGGAGCAUCUCAUCAUGGGGCCAGUAUCAUUGCGAUUGAUACCAUGACGGGUGAUGGCCAUCAAGUGACCACGAUAUGUCAUGGUAUCACACAAUAUAGCCAAAUGUCUAUAGUUCACGUAAGACCCAUCAAAGAUAUACAACACGCAACUCAUCAGCAAGGCUUUGCGAACUGCCUCAAUGCCAAGAACUUCAAUAACUUCAAUCAAUGAUUGCUUGUUGUCCUACUUGCAUCUACAUCUUCAUGGCAAAUUACAGCUAAAAGAUUAACACCUUCUGUGUCAGCAUCCACUCAUUCUCAGCCUUGAAGCCUUCAUUUUCAUCAAACUUAUUUACCUUGCCAUUCUUUAUGAACACCUUAUUGAUAUCUGGUAUGCCUCGAAGAGCCAUUUCUGUAAGCAUGUUACCCUCAAUCUUUUUGAGGAAGACAU